GCUAGAUUGAACGCUGGCGGCAGGCCUAACACAUGCAAGUCGAACGGUAACAGGAAGCAGCUUGCUGCUUCGCUGACGAGUGGCGGACGGGUGAGUAAUGUCUGGGAAACUGCCUGACGGAGGGGGAUAACUACUGGAAACGGUAGCUAAUACCGCAUAACGUCGCAAGACCAAAGAGGGGGACCUUCGGGCCUCUUGCCAUCAGAUGUGCCCAGAUGGGAUUAGCUUGUUGGUGGGGUAACGGCUCACCAAGGCGACGAUCCCUAGCUGGUCUGAGAGGAUGACCAGCCACACUGGAACUGAGACACGGUCCAGACUCCUACGGGAGGCAGCAGUGGGGAAUAUUGCACAAUGGGCGCAAGCCUGAUGCAGCCAUGCCGCCGUGUAUGAAGAAGGCCUUCGGGUUGUAAAGUACUUUCAGCGGGGAGGAAGGUGUUGUGGUUAAUAACCGCAGCAAUUGACGUUACCCGCAGAAGAAGCACCGGCUAACUCCGUGCCAGCCGCCGC
rnacentral:rRNA from 1 species